rnacentral:rRNA from 1 species
CACGUAGUUAGCCGAGGCUUCUUACUCAGGUACCGUCAUCUUCUUCCCUGCUGAUAGAGCUUUACAUACCGAAAUACUUCUUCACUCACGCGGCGUUGCUGCAUCAGGGUUUCCCCCAUUGUGCAAUAUUCCCCACUGCUGCCUCCCGUAGGAGUUUGGGCCGUGUCUCAGUCCCAAUGUGGCCGGUCACCCUCUCAGGUCGGCUACUGAUCGUCGCCUUGGUCGGGCCGUUACCCCUCAACUAGCUAAUCAGACGCGGGUCCAUCUCAUACCACCGGAGUUUUUCACACAAGAACAUGCAUCCUCGUGCGCUUAUGCGGUAUUAGCAGUCAUUUCUAACUGUUAUCCCCCUGUAUGAGGCAGGUUACCCAGGCUUACUCACCCGUCCGCCACUCAGUCAAUCUAGCUUCCAUACCGAAAACUUCCGACUAAAUCGCUUCGUUCGACCUUGCAUGUGUUAAAGCACGCCGCCAGCGUUCAUCUGACGCCAGGAUCAAAA